CCUACGGGUGGCAGCAGUCGAGAAUCAUUCACAAUGGGGGAAACCCUGAUGGUGCGACGCCGCGUGGGGGACUGAAGGUCUUCGGAUUGUAAACCCCUGUCAUCAGGGAACAACGUUCACUGUGCUAAUCAGCAGUGAAUUGACGGUACCUGCAACGGAAGCACCGUCUAACUCCGUGCCCGCAGCCGCGGUAAUACGGAGGGUGCGAGCGUUGAUCGGUAUUACUGGGCGUAAAGCGCUCGUAGGCGGUAUGUCAAGUCAAGGGUGAAAUCCCCGAGCUCAACGGGGGAACUGCCUUUGAAACUGGCAAACUGGAGUGUGGGAGAGGAUAGCGGAAGUCGAGGUGUAGGAGUGAAAUGCGUAGAUAUCUGGAAGAACAUCAGUGGCGAAGGCGACAAUCUGGCACAUAACUGACGCUGAGGAGCGAAAGCGUGGGUAGCAAACAGGAUUAGAUACCCUUGUAGUC
rnacentral:rRNA from 1 species